rnacentral:rRNA from 1 species
AGUCGAACGGCAGCACGGGAGCAAUCCUGGUGGCGAGUGGCGAACGGGUGAGUAAUAUAUCGGAACGUGCCCAGUCGUGGGGGAUAACGCAGCGAAAGCUGUGCUAAUACCGCAUACGAUCUAUGGAUGAAAGCGGGGGACUCGCAAGGCCUCGCGCGAUUGGAGCGGCCGAUAUCAGAUUAGCUAGUUGGUGGGGUAAAAGCCCACCAAGGCGACGGUCUGUAGCUGGUCUGAGAGGACGACCAGCCACACUGGAACUGAGACACGGUCCAGACUCCUACGGGAGGCAGCAGUGGGGAAUUUUGGACAAUGGGCGCAAGCCUGAUCCAGCAAUGCCGCGUGCAGGAUGAAGGCCUUCGGGUUGUAAACUGCUUUUGUACGGAACGAAACGGUGAGCUCUAAUAAAGUUUGCUAAUGACGGUACCGUAAGAAUAAGCACCGGCUAACUACGUGCCAGCAGCCGCGGUAAUACGUAGGGUGCGAGCGUUAAUCGGAAUUACUGGGCGUAAAGCGUGCGCAGGCGGUUAUGUAAGACAGAUGUGAAAUCCCCGGGCUCAACCUGGGACCUGCAUUUGUGACUGCAUAGCUAGAGUACGGUAGAGGGGGUUGGAAUUCCGCGUGUAGCAGUGAAAUGCGUAGAUGUGCGGAGGAACACCGAUGGCGAAGGCAAUCCCCUGG